GAGUUUGAUCUUGGCUCAGGACGAACGCUGGCGGCGUGCUUAACACAUGCAAGUCACGGGGGCCCGCAAGGGUAACCGGCGAACGGGUGCGUAACACGUGAACAAUCUGCCUAGAUGUGGGGGAUAGCCGGCCCAACGGCCGGGUAAUACCGCAUACGCUCUUCGGGUGGCAUCAUUUGAAGAGGAAACCUCCGGGGCAUCUAGAGGAGUUCGCGGCCUAUCAGCUAGUUGGUGGGGUAACGGCCUACCAAGGCAAUGACGGGUAGCUGGUCUGAGAGGAUGGCCAGCCACAUUGGGACUGAGAUACGGCCCAGACUCCUACGGGAGGCAGCAGUGGGGAAUAUUGCGCAAUGGCCGAAAGGCUGACGCAGCGACGCCGCGUGGGGGAUGAAGCAUUUCGGUGUGUAAACCCCUGUUGCUCGGACGAACAAGCGAUUUCGAUCGCUCUGACGGUACCGGGUGAGGAAGCACCGGCUAACUCCGUGCCAGCAGCCGCAGUAAU
rnacentral:rRNA from 2 species